rnacentral:piRNA from 2 species
UGGGUAGUGAAAUCAAUUUCAUGGGCUGC